rnacentral:rRNA from 1 species
GACGAACGCUGGCGGUGUGCUUAACACAUGCAAGUCGAACGGAAAGGCCCUGCUUUUGUGGGGUGCUCGAGUGGCGAACGGGUGAGUAACACGUGAGUAACCUGCCCUUGACUUUGGGAUAACUUCAGGAAACUGGGGCUAAUACCGGAUAGGAGCUCCUGCUGCAUGGUGGGGGUUGGAAAGUUUCGGCGGUUGGGGAUGGACUCGCGGCUUAUCAGCUUGUUGGUGGGGUAGUGGCUUACCAAGGCUUUAACGGGUAGCCGGCCUGAGAGGGUGACCGGCCACAUUGGGACUGAGAUACGGCCCAGACUCCUACGGGAGGCGGCAGUGGGGAAUAUUGCACAAUGGGCGGAAGCCUGAUGCAGCAACGCCGCGUGCGGGAUGACGGCCUUCGGGUUGUAAACCGCUUUCGCCUGUGACGAAGCGUGAGUGACGGUAAUGGGUAAAGAAGCACCGGCUAACUACGUG